ensembl:lncRNA
GCCGGGCGCCAUGCGGCCUACCCGCGUGCCGCCACGCCGCCACGCACACAAAAGGCUGCAGGGAAAACACGGAGGGCAGCGGGACGCCGUGCGGAGCGGCCUCCGCGGCACGGGGACACCGAUGUCCCCACCGCGCUGCUAUGGGCCUUCAUCCCCGAGGCCCAGCACCAGGAGGCAGCAGCACCGCCUCGCUCAGUGGGAUCUGGCGUCGCUCCUUGCGCUGCAGUGAGUUGGCGCGGUCUCAGCGCAGCACCGGGGAGGGCCGUGCCAGCCUGUGCGGGCUCUGCCAGGAGCUGGGCACGCUCCCAGCCCUGAAAUGCCAGGAUAACGCUGGAUUUGUGCAGCUUUCCCUGCUGGAAUGAGAGGGAGGGAGCUUUAACUCUCCUUUUCCCUGCCAGUGUGGUUCGGCUCGGCAGCACAGAACGGAUGGGAGCGGGUCACCCACAGCAGGGAUGGGGCUGUGACUCCACCACCACCCCUCUCCAAAAAGUCACCUACACACCACUGCUCGAGUAGGAAGCUUGGGCUGCCCUCUGCUCCUCGCGUUCCCCCUCCAUCCUCCAGACGGUCCCAGCACGUCCCUUAUGGCACACUUGGUUUCGGGGGGGUGUACUCCCCCAUCCCCUGCCCCGUGCCCCCUCGGCACCCGGCCCGGCUCUCAGCUCUCAGCCUGGGCUGUAAGCCCAGGGCACAGCAACCCCCCCUUCGCUGAUGACUGCGGGGGGGGCUAUUGCAAAAGCCUGAUUCCAGCGGGGUUGAGGACAGAGGGACGCUUUGGCUUUGUCACGAGGCUCCUUGCCAGCCCCAGCUCUGAACAUACCAGCCAGGUGCCAGCUCAUCCCUGAGUCCCGUUCCCUCUUUUUUACCCAAAAAUGGGAGCUGUGCCACUCCCCACCCUGCUGCGAGUGGGUGGCAUCUGGGUGGGGACAAUGGAGAUCAGGGUGCAGGAUAAAGCCGAGCCUAUUUUUAUCCCACAAAGUAAUUACCACAGCCUUCCAGUCCUUAAUCUGCUGAGAGCACCCUGGCACGAUUGGGUCCCUCCCUGAGCCUGGCAACAGUGCUCCUGUCACACGUCUCCUGCGUCAGAGCCCAGUAAACUCCCACCCGUGGCGCCUCCAGGAACGGGAACGGGGAUCUCAUUUGGGGGCUGGGAUUGAGGUCUCACCUCUCACCCCUGGGUGUCCCAGUCCCCGCACCGAGACUGGUGGGGCUCCAGCUGGGUGAAAGCACUAAAUCCAGACUAUUUUCCCUAUGGCUGCCCCAAAAGGUUUCUACCUGCAGUGCACAGCUUCCACCGGGGUCGCAGGUCCCUCUCCACCGAGCAGGGGCGGCUCCGGCUGCCGGUGCCAAGUCCCCACUGGCUCCAUUCCCAGCCUCUCCCCAUCCCGUCACCCUGCUCUGGCUCGCUGAAGAACCUGUUCCAUAGCUCCUGCCACGAGUGGAAAUUAUGGGCUGUAUUUGGAGCAGUGCUUUUCACCCAUUGCGGAGGGACCGCUUCAUCCGCACAUCUGCAGCCAGCUCCAGGGAGGGAUGUUUGGGACCCCGUGGGACCCUCUGGGGACCUCACGUCACCGUUGUUGGAUAUCUGGCAGCAUCCCUCGCUCCGUCCAUCCCAGCACACAGCAGCAAGCACAAAGUAAAGUUAUCGGUGUGCCACACUAAGCCACUGCUGUCACGAGGCAGGAGCUGAUGUGGAACUUCAGGGUGACCCCAGCAAUGUCCCUGUCCCUGCCUGGCGGGACGCAGUGGGCUGUGAAACGUCUGCCAGCACCAAUGGCCAUAAAAGGUCCUGAAACAGAGAGCCCGGGCGGGAUCAUCCGGGAUGUGGGAAUGGGGCCCGGAGCAGGAUGGGGCGGUGGCACACAGUGUCCCUUCCCUGCUGCCCAUUUGGGAUCUGCAUCACCUCCCACGCGGGGCUCAGGGGGACAAUGCCACCCAUUCAUUGGGGCACCUGGGUGGUGGGAGCGAGGGGCACGCAGCGAGUUCCCCCCGACCCCACAGCCUCACCCCACAGACAAUGGCUGCCCUUUGUUGGGGUUUUCUGUGUCCGGCCCCCACCCUGCCACCCAGCUGGUGACAUUUACCACCUCCACGUUCACAAGGGGACUCAAAGGUCUUAAGAUGUGCUGUGGAAUCAUGAAGCACGGCUGGCCCCCUCUGUGCACUCUAUUUGGGGUCCACUGGUGGGGAAUGAGGGAUGAAGAUGAAAUGGGGACCCUUUCCAGUUUGGUGACAUUUGACCUUUUUGAGAUGGAUCCACUGCUGCCCUGGGGGUACCUCACUGUGACUGCAACAGCACGGAGUGCCAGCCCCUGUGGGGUAUGCCAUGUCUUCCAUCCCACCAGAAAGGUCCCUGCACCCAGCUCCUGCCCCCUCCCAGACCCCCAGGGCAGUUCCCCCAGGAGCCGGGCAAGCAGCCCUGUUCCUCCUGGCCACCUCCAUGGGGUCCUUGGAAACACAAACCCAUAAUAAGCAGGCAGCCUGAGAGCUUAGAGGGAAAUGAAUGCUUUAGGGUAAUUCAUAGGGUGUGUGGGGUCAUGAAAAUGAGCACAGCCGUGCACGGAGGUGGGUGCCUGCAGUACGCCGGGGCGGCUGAUCUGGAGCUGGAGUCCUGCGGGGUGCAGAUGCUGCUCUGCCCUCUGGCUUCAGUGCAGGCUUGGGGACACCCAGGGAAGGUGACACAGGGCACAAAGCCUGGGGGGUGCGAGGACACGGGGUGCACUUUGAAAUGGGAUGCACAUUACGUAGGAUGCAGAGUGCGCAUUACGUGGGAUAGGGGGUGCUCGCGUUAGGGAGGAUGAAGAGUGCAGCCCACCUCCCCCCUCUCCCCCGUGCUGCUCACGUUUCCCCACCCACCCCCUGCAGUUGGCUGACGCGGGCUGACGUCCCUAUAUUAUGCUGAUUUAUGCGAGUUAACCCUUUCCUCGCCGUACGAGGGGGCUCCGUUGCUGGGAGGGGGGGGGAUGGUCCCGGGACCCCGCCCGGGGCUGUCAUUGCCUCCCCACAACCCCCCCCACCCCUCCCCGCGGGUUUCCAUGAGAACAGGACCGGGAUGAUGUCAGCGGUUGCUACGCGACAGCGUGAGAGCCCCCGGACUGCUGCGGAGACCACAAAGAAGCCCCCAACCUCGAGGCCAUCGUCCAUCCCACCAGACCUCAUGCAUCUCCCCUCCUGCACCCACGGGAUGGAGAAGCCAUCGGUUCAGCUCGUGCCAACAGAUGGAAGCUGUGCUCCGAGCAUCUCCUCCAGCCCAUGGGAACUUCAUUCCCUCAUCCAGCAGAAGCCACAGCGCUACCAUUCCUGCUGCUGCAGUUUGGGACCGGCAGUGAUGCUGUGCACCCAGCCAUCACCCUCUUGCAUGGAGUAACCUGGUGGGGCUGCUGAGGUCUGAUUUGCCCAUAAGAUGUAGGGUUGGGCUUCCGCUGUGCUGCAGGUGGGAUGCUCCAUUGGUUACUCUGCAUCCUCUGAGUGUGGAAAUCAGGCUGAGAGCCUCUAAUCUCAAUCCACUUGGACAGAAUUACCAUCCCUAAUCUCCCAUUCCUUGGGUGUCCCCAGGGCUCUGUUAACACCUGGAGCUGCCUGGGAUCUGUGCUGCCCCAGAGUGGAUUCUAUGUGGACAUACUAACAUGCGUGGGUUCACUGAGUCUGUUAGCAUCCCCUAACAUAGAAUCAUUACGUUUGGAACAGACCUUGAAAAUCACCAACUCCAACCACCAGCCCACCCCCACCGUGCCCACUGACCACAUCCCUCAGUGCCACAUCCACGUGGUUCAUGAACACCUCCAGGGCUGAUGACUCCACCACCUCCCUGGGCAGCCCGUGCCAAUGCACCACUGUUCUUUCUGAGAAGAUGCAGGGAGAGCACCUCACCCCAUGCUGGGCUGUGUGGGACCCCAUCUCCACUAUCCCCACAUCUCUAUCCCUCAGCCUGGCCAUGUGCCGGAGCAGAGUGCACAUAGAGACGCCCUGCAAAGGGCUUCAGGGGCACACACAGACCCCACUGUUCACUCCUCUCCCUCUGGCUUCUGUCCCUACUUGCUGCCGUGCUGUGCUUCGUGGUGAUGCUGUUGCUCUUUAUGGCUGGUGGGGCUGAUCUUGAGUGAGUCAUUAUGUGGCAAAUGGGAUCCAAUCAGAGUGACAUUAUUUCCUCGCCCGGUGUUCUUUGCAAAUGAGAUUUUGCAGAACUCGGAGCAUUUUUUUUUUCCUUCCAGCCAAAGGCCUCUUCCCAACCCCAUUUAAAAGCCCACCAAUUGGGUGUGGGAUAGAAUGAAUGUUUACCACGGGGCACACGGGGCAGCGAGCUAAUAAACAUGCUGGCAAUCAAUCCUGGCAGAGCGGCUGUACCUGGAGUGCGCCGGUGCAUGCAGAGCUGCUGUGAGUGAGGGAUGGGGAGAGGCCAUCCCCGCUCCCCGAUGCUCAUUGCUGUGCUUUGGUGACUCACACGGGAGAAGGUUUGGAAAGGAAUAAACAGAGCCCAUAAAGUGUCUCACUGAUGCUUGGGAGGAUGCCCUGGAUCUGUGCUCUGUUUCAAUGAUCCAGGGGAGGUCAUGCUGGAGCUGAGCGAUCCCCAAAAUGCUACGGGUUGGGCGGCACAUUGUUGGCUGAUGGAAUGCUCUCUGGGAUCAGAACCAAGAGCUCUUUGCCAAGGGCAGCUCUAGGGCAGGAGAUGGGGUUCCACUCCGGUGCUCACUGGUGUCAUGGGCCUUAUCCCUAGGAGACCCUUUCCUGCCCAUGGCUGAGAGCAUCCCCAGGUCCUGAUGGAACCCUGUAAGAGCCCUGUGCUCCUGCCAGGUGC